UUAUCGGAGAGUUUGAUCCUGGCUCAGGAUAAACGCUGGCGGCGUGCAUGAGACAUGCAAGUCGAACGGGUGACUCGGGCUUGCUCGAGUCACUAGUGGCGGACGGCUGAGUAACGCGUAGGUGACCUGCCCCGAAGUGGGGAAUAACUGCCCGAAAGGGUGGCUAAUACCGCAUGUGGUGGUUCGUUCGGUCGGACCACUAAAGCAGUAAUGCGCUUCGGGAGGGGCCUGCGUCCGAUUAGCUCGUUGGUGGGGUAACGGCUCACCAAGGCGACGAUCGGUAGGUGGUCUGAGAGGACGAUCACCCAGACUGGGACUGAGACACGGCCCAGACUC
rnacentral:rRNA from 1 species